UACGUUGAAGCACCAAUACCCGUACAACCACUGAAGUUAAGCAACAUUGAGCCUGCUCAGUAGCUAGAUGGGUGACCUCUUGGGAAUAGCAGGCGCUGUA